AGCGGCGGUGUCGAGGGCUCUUUGCAGAGCCGAGCGCGCACUGCUGUGGCUGUGUGGUGGAUUUCGCACACAUAGGGCGAUGUGGUCCGCGUUGAUGGAGGUAUUCACGUGGUUGUGGGGGUCAGUCUGCAGGACAGCAGGCAGUCGGGCCAGGUUGAACAGGAAAGGGCUCACCACUGAUCCUUGUGGGACGCCCUCUACCAAAUAGGUCCAGGGCCUGCUGAACGACUGGAUAGGGCAGGCCGUCAAAGGCCCCCUUCAUGCCGAUAAGCACCAGGAGCACGGCGUCACCGCAGGCCUUGGCCUCUUCCAGCGUGGAGACCACGUCCACGAUGGAGUCCGCACUGCAUCAGCUCCGCCGGAACCCUAUCUGCUCAUCGGCCAGAAAGCAAUGGCCUCCAUCAGCUUGCAAGCAGCAGAGGAAGCCAUCAUCUGGUGCUGUGUACAGCAAGCACAUGCUUCGGGCAAGGAGGGAGCCAGCACCAUAUCUACAUCAGCAAGAACCUCGGUGCUCAAAAUAAACAUUUUCUGUGCAAAUACCUGUCUUUUUAUA